CCACGCCCCUCCUAUCCGCAUUCUCAACUGCGGAUGACACGGCGGUCGGAUGGUCCCGAUGGGCCACUUGUGGCCUGAAGACGGAGUGCUUUUUUUUCUACGUGAGAUUGUAUGGCAUUCAUAUAGCUUUUUAAAAUCUCUAUUGCAAUCACUGCGACAUUCUGCUUAAACUGCCUUGCCUAAAAGCUACCAUCACUGUCCAACUUAAUUUCGUAUGGAGUUACUGUUAUGGGAAUAAAUAAAUCAGGGUGUACAAAACUGAAACUCAGUUGUUGAAAAUCACUACACGACACCAAGCAUCUACGUCUAAUAUAAAGCUGGGGACAGAAGAUGCCUCAAAGUAUGCAGUCUCACUAUUUGAAAGUCGGUAUCAAAACUGAUGCAAGAAGUCCUGAAGUUAUGUCUGUGUGAAUUCUCAAGCGAAAUGACUUUGGAUACAGAAAUGAGAAAGAAGAAAACAGAUAUAACAUAGAAUACGCAGCCUCGUCUGUUUCGUCGUUAGUAGGGCUGGUAGGAGGAAAACUGCAGUUCACUUAUAUUUUUGUCUGAAUUAUCAAACAGACUGUUCCCAGAAUCAAUUAACAAGAAUCACAGAAAGCGGACUUCAGAAAGAUAUAGCGCAGUAGGAAGGAAAGGAAACGACAACGCAAAUGAAAAGAGAACAAAAAAUGUAAUUUACUAAAAUCACUAAUAGUCUAUUUAUAAAACACUAACGUACGAAAACUGCAGUGUACAAGGGAUGCAGGCAACAGAGAUAAACUUAAGAAAUGGAUUCAGCAAUAAAAGUGAAGAAACAGGAAAAGACUGUAGCUGUGUUAGGAAAUGGAAAUCGUGUGCAGAAUAGUCAAACAUCGACUGAAAAGUGUAAUCGGAAAAUUCAGUAUUAAUGAACUACUGAAACAGCUAAGCAUCCUUCGGUUAUGGUUGCUAUUAUGAAUAGGAAACAACGAAUAAAGUGUACGUAAUCAGUGUUGUAGCUGUAGCUGCACAGAAUGAAAAGUAUUGUUGGGGGAAAUGUGAUUUAACAUUAACAAACAGGACUAAUACCUCGAAGUUAACGAGGAAGGAGAGAUCCACGAGGAGAGAAAGGGAAGAAAUAUCAGCAAUUUCGAUGUACAGUUUCAUAGAAUGCACGAAGGACGAGAAGUGCUGAAAAUAUAUUAACGCGAAAGAGCUAACAUUUACUGUAUUUGGUAUUACGGAAACAAGACUUCUGUUUAUUAGUUGUUUGCAGCGGAAUGCUAUGUGACGUCCAUAAGAAGAAUGCAGAAAGUGUUGAAGCAAUCCUAUUGUAUCAUUGCAAAAAGAUGAAAGGAAGAAGGAUACUGGAGAAAUAAGAGUGAGGAAAUUUAAACCCGUGUAUCAUCAAAUGCUUGUACGAAAGGAAAGAAAAACUAGACGAAAUUUCUGACAGCGCAGAAGUAAUUAAACUAGAAAUAGAAAUAUCCACAGAAAAUAAUAUUGCAAGGAAUAAAAGAAAAAGCAAUAUUUACAGAGGUGAAGAUGUUGACUAAAGUUGGAGCAGUGAGAAUUAAUAACAAAUGAGUCAGUAAAUUGAUACCUUACGCAAUAUGUAUUGUUGUUGACACUAUAAGUUCGGUAACUACAAGGUAAGACCAUCACCAACUUACAGCAGAAUCUUUGUGACAGCUGCAGGAAGUUAGGGAGAGAAGAAGCCUAGGCAAGGCACGAAACCAUCAGCGAAGGUACGAUGUAUCUUGAUAAUAAAUUGCGCCACUGAUUCUACCAACCUUCGCUGUGAAGUAUUAGCGAUGCACAAUGUACUGAGUAAAUAUGGUGAACAUAUAAACAGUUCGUUUGCGUGUAAGUGGUGACUGAAGAGUUGCCAUGAAAAAGGGAAUAAAACUGAGGGCACGAACAAGAUUUCUAUCAAUUCCACAGUUAAGGAGUUAAGGAUACCUUUAAGUGACAACGCUAUUGUACUUAAAAAUUUAUUGAAUUCAGUAGUCACAUACUUGAGGAACAGAUAGUGAGCCCAUGAAGGAUUCGUCGUCAUGUAUGUUUUCUGUGCGUCUGGCUGAAGAAUUCGUCCUGCCUCUUUAAACGUUCCAGUGAAAAAGGAAUGUAUCCACAGAAUACGAAUGAUUUACUGUGCAUUCAACGAGAUGGUGGUAGUCCGUGUACAAACUUCAGGUCAGCUUUCAAACUACACUCCGAUAUCAUUUCUUCAGAUAUUGCAUAGCAAAUGCCAAUGACAGACGUGCUAAAAAGAAUGGGAACAUUCAUAAGCAGUUAUAUUAGGUUAUUGAAAAUUGAAAUUAAGAUCUGCUUUGGUAACAGUAAUUAGUAACAGCGACUGAACUCGAGUAGAAAAAAAAUCACACGUUGUUAAACAGUUAAUGGAAUUAUGUUGUUUUCACUACUUUGAACAUGAAUACCUAAUUUUCAGGAAUCAAAUGUGUUCAUUUCUAAAGGGGUGGUUGAAUAUCAUCCAUUAUUUUAGACUUUGUAAUAUUCAGAAAAGUUUUUUAUUUUAUUAUUUUUACGUUGUGAUUUCUAACAGUGCGGUGCUAAAUGACAAGUACUAAGAUAAUAAAUAUCUAUGGGAUGAGGUAUUGUAUACUUUAUAUAUAAUCGGAGAAUAAUAUUAAGUAAAAACGAGAUAACUGACAAAGUAAUGUUACAUAAAAUAAGAGAUCACUUUGGCGUUUCGAGAGGAGGUAAGUGGAUUGCAGUCUGCCAGUCACCGAUCCAACUACAAAAGAUUUGUAGGUAAAAGUGUGAUGUAAUGAGUUUAUACGGUGUAUAUGUUGUUUUGUGUAUAUAAACUUAGAUGAGAGCUGUUAUACUAAAAGAAAGUAUAUGAAACGUUGACGCAACAUGACAAUGAAGCUUACUAUAAGUAGUCGAAAAUGCAAGCACAGAGUUCAACAAAGCUACCGAAACUGAAGUAGCUGUAGAUCAAAGUUGUGCUUUUGUGGUGCUGCGCAGAUAUUAGACAGUUAAUAUAAAAACGCAUGACGAGAAUUAUUCCAGUUGUGAAAAAGGAAAAGUAUCAUUCAAUUCCAGAUGCUGGUAAAAGGUGAAAAGGCAUUCUGAUGAAAACGUUACAGCCACUUACGUGAACAAGAGUGGAAGAAGACGACUCGGAAUUGCUAAAAAUCAGACAGAAUACCUCGAAAACUAGAUGAAAAGUUAGUCUCUUGUGGAGGAUUUACUCAAAGUUUAUAUUGAAUGUUUUAUUACAGUAACGAUAUUGCAGUUCUUUUCCAUAAUUUGUGAGUAUAUCUGACAAAUCAUUUUUCUGUUAAUAAUUUUUAUCAAUAACAUUAUGAAUGUAGUAGAUCUCUUGUAGUUUCUCAACAAGCUUCAGUAUACUACAUUGGUGCUGCAAUGAAGAGAAUAAUAUUAAAGGAACAAAAAAUUUAAGUUAAAGUUUGAAGAAUAUUGCGUCUGCUAAGGACAGUAUUCUUUUGAUGCAAUGCGUUUGAAAUUUAAAUGCCGAAACUGAAGUGAUCGUUGAAGUUCGGCUAGAAAUAAUAGUGAGGUUUUUUGUGAAACAUUCGUACACAGUAAAACUACAGAAUAUAAAGAAACAGCAUCAUUGUAUUCUGGAUAUAGACACUUUUUAGUUUUUUAUUACAAGUAAAAAUGCAUUCAGAAAGAUUAAGUCUUCCUUGAUAACAAAGGUAUUUUUGUAUUUCCUCUUGGAUCCUGUACUGAAAGUCUAAACUUCAGCGAUACCAUCAAUUCUCCCACAACGUUUGCCAGUUCGGUGGAUAUGAAGUUGUAGUUCAUGAAUGCAAUUAUUUAUCAACACGAUUUACAAGGACAUGCUUUAGAAAAACAUUUGAACUUAGUUGUUGUCAUGAACUGAAUUCAUAGCUGACUGUAAAAAAGAAUUUUAAAAAAGUGUAAUGAAUUCUUUUGGCACCGUUCAGUACAAUGAUACAGAUCAGAAAUAAACAAGGUGGAAGAAAUUACAAUGAGUGGAUGAUCUUACAAUGUAAUAAAAUGUUCAGUUAAUGCAAGGAUCUGCAUGUCACUUCAGUGCUCAGGUUCCGUAUGUACAGCGUCGUAAGGAACAGGAGAUGUUAGAGUGAAGAGUGAGCAAGUAUCAACAGUAUCAAAGAGCAUGAAAUCAAAACUUGUUGCUGUACGUAGUGAAACACCAAUACGGCUGUUGCAUGAGUAUUCGCCUUUCAAAGCUCUUAGAAUGUGGAAGAUGAAGCUUACAUGUCCUCUCAUCUUGACGCAGUGAUGUUUCUCAACACGCCGCCUGGCCGUAAGCAUCGAGUGCGCAGGAGGAGCUGCGCUCGAUGGCGAUCCGCGAGGCGGCGCGCAUGUACCUGCACCACCCGUCCUCGUACUACCUGUCGGCGGGCCCCUACCUGCCGCACACGGCCAUGUACCCGGCGCACACGCCGCCCGCCGUCUUCCCGCCGCCGCUGCACAUGGGGCCGCCGCUGCCCUUCGCCGUGCCGCCGUCGCCCGAGUCUCCGCCGCAGUCGCGACCGCCCACCAUGUAGCCAGCCGGCGCAGCACAGUUGUCGUCGACCGAAUGUUGCCAGCCAGUGAGUGCUCUGGAGCCGACGACUUGCUGAGUGAUCACCACCAUCGAGGCGUCGCGAGGUCUUGGGGACAGCCCAUGCGUCUGGUCCGCCUGCCCUCUGUCGGUCGUGUGGGGCGACAUAUCCUGGAAGAAGAUGGAGAGUGGAUAUUGGUAGUGAGCAUUAUGAACUUGCUAUUUUCGUGAUCAUUCAAAUUUUAAUAUGUAAUAUGUUACCCAGGAGGAAAAGUGAAAACAUGGUUGUGUAAGGAGUAAGAGACUAAAGAUAAAAAAUAUAACCGAACUGUACCAGACUAGUGGCAAGAUGUAGUAAGGUGCUGUGCAGUUUCCACCAUGUUAAGGGCGCCACAAAUGACUUUUUUGAUGUAGCAGUAAUAAGUAAAUAUUGUGCUGUGUAUGAAGUAAAGUGCUAAUAAUCCAAAGAUCUCAUAAUGAUGGUAGAAAUUAGGUCUCCAGAUCUACAAAUUUGGCGCAGGUGUGUCGAUGUGAAUGCAACCAACGUGUGACUUCUGCUGUCAUGUCUGAAAUGAAAACAAAAUGCUUCUAAUCUCUGGGAUGCGCACUACAUUCAGUUUCUUCAGCAUAUUCAGUGGAAAAAUAUCCUUAAUAGACACUUUCAACGUCAUCUUGGAGUUCAUGGAAGGAGCAGUACAUGCUGUAAUUUCAGUGCACACACACACACACACACACACACACACACACACACACACACACACACAUACCCACAGAGGAAAAAGUUAAAUGUGUUUGUAUAGCCACCUUGUAAACUUCCUAUAGAGUCAGGCAUUUUUAUGCAGUUUUAAAACAAUAUGAUAUUGUGAAAUAGUUUGGAAUAAAUGUUUAUUGGAGAGCCUGAACUACGCCUGUUUAUUUUUCCCAUAAAAAGAAAAUUUUGUCAUAUUAAAUAAUGAUAUUUUUAAAAUUUGGAACAGGAUAAAAAUAUGGAACAUCAUUCUUAUUUCUAACUUGUUAUGGUGGUAAUAGUUCCAACUGGAAAUUCAAUCGAAAAAUAAGUGUCAAACACUUUUUAGUUUGGACACAUUAUUGUUCAUAUCUAUUUGCUACUCUGUAUGUUAAUAUGUGAUUGUUUACUUUGGAGAAACUAUGAUGUGAACUCAUGUAUAUAAUUUAUUGUUGUCACCUGCUAUUAUUAUUCUAGAUUGUUGAGAGUAUUUCUGUUGUUACUACAGCUGUCCUAUAUACAUUAAUAUGGCUAUACUGUCAUCGUUAUUAACUGAGAACAGAAACUGGUGCUGUAAAUGGACCUAUGAAACAAUUAUAUUGUCUCAUCUGUUUAGGAGCUUUAUGUUUGACAUCUCAACACACUGCAAAGACUUGAUACAGUAAACCAAGAGAGAGACUACAUAGAGGGCAGGUGUCAAUGUGUUUUACUUGUUCCAGAAUCAGAAAUUAAUAAAUAACUUUUUAUUAAUUUUUAUAGCCAGCCAGCCUGCAGUUGUAAAUUAUUUAGUACUGAACAGCUCCUAUAAAGCAAAUAAAGUAAUUUUAGUGAUCUGCAAGAGCAGAAAAAGAUAAUGAACCUCUCUGCAAAGGGGUAUUCAUCACAUGUGUUGGAUUAAUACUAAGAUUUAAAGGCACAUUUCGAAAUAUUCUUUUCUGUACUCAAAAUUCUCCCAUGACUUACAUAGCAAAUUGGUAAUGACUGCCCAUUGAGUUUCCUUUUGAUGUUCACUUGUGAGAAAGUAAAACAAAAAUGAUUGUGUUUUGUAGUCUACUUCAUCAAAAUUCCUCCACAUAUGUACACUAAUUUAAAUAUGACUUACUCCAAGUUGAUAUACAUUUACUGUUUUUCAAUAUAUAGAUCAUCUACAUCAAUAUAAAACUGUGUGAGCAUGUAAAACAGUUUUACUAUCAACUACAUAAAGAAGUACGUUUACUUGAUGUUAGAUGUAAUGAUGUUAAAUUAGGUGUAGAAAACACAUAGUUUUGAUGACAUAUAAUGAAUUCAUAAAUAUAUUUCCCACAAAUUCAAUAUAAAUAGAUCGUAUUUGGCCAUAUUUAGCAGUCACUUUAUAUAUUGGUGUAUACAACACUCUUUAAUAUGAAAUUUCUAUUGAUGUCAAUGUUUAAAGAAGAAAUUUAGCUUCAGUGUUUUAUAAUAAAAUUAUAUUCUAUAUAUAAUUAUGUAAUUAGUAUUAUAUCGCCGAAAAUCUUCUAUUUUAGUAACAACACAGUUACUAAUAAACUUCUGUGUGUGUAUAAUAUUUCCCUAAAUUAUUCACACAGGCUUUGAAUGGCACAUUUAAUGGAAGAAGAUGGUUAUCUAUCUGAAUCAAAUAUAAAUUAAUAAUUGAAUCUUCAGAGAUAUGUAUAUAAACAAUUAUGUUUUCUAGAUGUUUUAAUUGAGGGGAAAUAAAAUGUGAAUGCUUUUAUGAAAAAUGUAAUGAGAGGCUAUAACCAUAAUAGCUAUUAUGAUCAAAUCAAAGAAGUUUCUAAAGCAUUGAGUACCAUUCUCUUUCUGUUCACAAGACUUCAAUUCUUCUAUUGCGUCCAUUUGCUGUAAAGAUAUUAUCAGAAUAUUUUUUAUAAUGUACACAGCAUGCCAAUCAUGGUCCUUAUACUUUUUUAAAAGAAUUGAUUUUUGUACUGUUGUACUUUAGAAAGGCAAACUUUUGAAAAAUAUUAUAGUUUCUUGAAGCCAAUAGCUAUAAGAAUUUAAAAGUAUUCACAAAGUAAUGAUGAAGACGACCUUCCAUUAAAAACAAAAAUUGUCAAUGACACAUCAGAACACCCAUCCGAAUUAAUUAUUAUAAUGUACUUAUUAAUGUUAUAUGUCAAUGGUAUAUGUGGUAGUGUGAAAUAUUAAUAUGUACACUGAUGCAGUGUGUAAAAGGCUAAGUUGUAUGUAAAUGCUUCAAAUUUGUGCAUGUAGUAUUACAUACCUAAUUCAAAAUAUAUAGUGUUGUUGUCUGAUUCAAAAUCAACUUUAUGUUGAAAAGUCUUAGUUGGGAAUGAAUGUUUGUUUUAACACAGAUUGCUUGGAGGACUUGUGAUAUCCUAUUCCCUCCUAUUUAUGUGCUAUGACCUCCUACAUAUUUUGUAACUGCUAUUACAAUUGUAAUAUUAAUGAAACUAGUAGCUAUUAAUUAAAAUAUUUUCAAAUAUAUUA